rnacentral:rRNA from 1 species
GACGAACGCUGGCGGCGUGCUUAACACAUGCAAGUCGAACGGAAAGGCCCUGCUUUUGUGGGGUGCUCGAGUGGCGAACGGGUGAGUAACACGUGAGUAACCUGCCCUUGACUUUGGGAUAACUUCAGGAAACUGGGGCUAAUACCGGAUAGGAGCUCCUGCUGCAUGGUGGGGGUUGGAAAGUUUCGGCGGUUGGGGAUGGACUCGCGGCUUAUCAGCUUGUUGGUGGGGUAGUGGCUUACCAAGGCUUUGACGGGUAGCCGGCCUGAGAGGGUGACCGGCAGCAGUGGGACGGAGGGAAGGACGAGCAGCAUACGGGAGGAAGCAGGGGGGAAUAUGGCAGAAUGGCGGGGAGUGUGAUGCAGCAAAGGCGGGUGCGGGAUGAUGGGUGUCGGGGGGUAAACAGCAAUCGCCGGUGAAGAAGGGUGAGGGAGGGGAAUGGGUAAAGAAGCAAACGCUAACCACGGG